UACGGAGGGUGCAAGCGUUAUCCGGAUUCACUGGGUUUAAAGGGUGCGUAGGUGGGUCUGUAAGUCAGUGGUGAAAUCCCCGAGCUUAACUUGGGAACUGCCAUUGAUACUAUAGCUCUUGAAUACUGUGGAGGUCAGCGGAAUAUGUCAUGUAGCGGUGAAAUGCUUAGAUAUGACAUAGAACACCAAUUGCGAAGGCAGCUGGCUACACAAAUAUUGACACUGAGGCACGAAAGCGUGGGGAUCAAACAGG
rnacentral:rRNA from 1 species